ensembl:lncRNA
CAGAGAGGCCGUCCUGCUAGAAAUAUGGAGGUCAGAGAUUGGUGGCAGGGAGGGGCAGAAGAGAGCUGGCGAAGGUCUAAAAUGGGACAGUAUCUGUGAGCAGAAGGCAAGGGGAAGGAUCGGAAAGGCUCUCUAGGAUGUGAAACUUAAGAAAGCAUCUUAGUACUGAUGACUUCCAGAUAAAGUUGUUUAUGAUGAUGGACUUUUUCAGGUUCCUUAUCUCAGCUUUGAGAACCUCCUCAGACCUGGUCCAGUAACAGGAGGACGGACGAAGGACGAGAGCAGGUGUCCAGGUGUCUUCCGCAGAUGCCAGUACCUUCAUUGGAGCAGGAAACCCAGGAGAAAGAGGCAAAGAAUCUAUAACUGCCAAGCCCCGUUACAGCUCGUGUUCUGCAUGAGAACUGGGCUCUGCCAGUCGGACCUAUCCAGAUUCAAGAGGCAGCAGUGAGACCACGCAUCUGCCGCUCGUUUUUCUGUGGGCUAAUGGCAAAGAGCUUGGCAAGGACUCUCAUUUGUUUGGACUUGAUCCAGGUCUCAUUUUCUCAUUUGCAUAUUUUGGAUUUCAAGGAAAAAGAGGUGAUAAUUUCCAUGUUUAUCUACAAAAAAA